rnacentral:rRNA from 1 species
ACUCCUACGGGAGGCAGCAGUGGGGAAUAUUGGACAAUGGGCGCAAGCCUGAUCCAGCCAUGCCGCGUGAGUGAUGAAGGCCCUAGGGUUGUAAAGCUCUUUCACCGGUGAAGAUAAUGACGGUAACCGGAGAAGAAGCCCCGGCUAACUUCGUGCCAGCAGCCGCGGUAAUACGAAGGGGGCUAGCGUUGUUCGGAUUUACUGGGCGUAAAGCGCACGUAGGCGGACUAUUAAGUCAGGGGUGAAAUCCCGGGGCUCAACCCCGGAACUGCCUUUGAUACUGGUAGUCUUGAGUUCGAGAGAGGUGAGUGGAAUUCCGAGUGUUGAGGUGAAAUUCGUAGAUAUUCGGAGGAACACCAGUGGCGAAGGCGGCUCACUGGCUCGAUACUGACGCUGAGGUGCGAAAGCGUGGGGAGCAAACAGGAUUAGAAACCCGUGUAGUCCC